rnacentral:rRNA from 1 species
GCGAUUGGUGGUAAGGAAUAGAAUGCUCAAGUUCCCACUGGUUCACGGAAGUUAAACAAAGUUCCGUGUGGUUAGUACCCGAAUGGGUGACCACCCGAUAAAUCGCCUGCUGCUGGCU